UACGUAGGUGGCAAGCGUUAUCCGGAUUUAUUGGGCGUAAAGGGAACGCAGGCGGUCUUUUAAGUCUGAUGUGAAAGCCUUCGGCUUAACCGGAGUAGUGCAUUGGAAACUGGGAGACUUGAGUGCAGAAGAGGAGAGUGGAACUCCAUGUGUAGCGGUGAAAUGCAUAGAUAUCACACAGAACACCGAUUGCGAAGGCAUCUCACGAAUCCGCGAUUGACGCUGAUGCACGAAAGCGUGGGUAUCAAACAGG
rnacentral:rRNA from 1 species